GCAGUGGUGGUUCAGUGGCAGAAUUCUUGCCUUCCAUGCGGAAGGCCUGGUUUGAUUCCCAGCCAAUGCA
rnacentral:tRNA from 1 species